GCUGCUGUAGCGUAGUCUGGUCUAACGCAGUGGUCUUGAAAACCACCAAUGGUUAAACCCAUUCAUCCGUCCAAAUCGGAUCAGCAGCGCCA
rnacentral:tRNA from 1 species